GUGGGGAAAGUAUAAAUAUUUACAUUUCAGUUACAUUGAGAAAAUCCUUCUUCAGGUCCCCAUU
rnacentral:tRNA from 1 species